GAUGAACGCUGGCGGCGUGCCUAAUACAUGCAAGUCGAGCGAACAGAUGAGGAGCUUGCUCCUCUGACGUUAGCGGCGGACGGGUGAGUAACACGUGGAUAACCUACCUAUAAGACUGGGAUAACUUCGGGAAACCGGAGCUAAUACCGGAUAAUAUAUUGAACCGCAUGGUUCAAUAGUGAAAGACGGUUUUGCUGUCACUUAUAGAUGGAUCCGCGCCGCAUUAGCUAGUUGGUAAGGUAACGGCUUACCAAGGCAACGAUGCGUAGCCGACCUGAGAGGGUGAUCGGCCACCCUGGAACUGAGACACGGUCCAGACUCCUACGGGAGGCAGCCGUAGGGAAUCUUCCGCAAUGGGCGAAAGCCUGACGGAGCAACGCCGCGUGAGUGAUGAAGGUCUUCGGAUCGUAAAACUCUGUUAUUAGGGAAGAACAAAUGUGUAAGUAACUAUGCACGUCUUGACGGUACCUAAUCAGAAAGCCACGGCUAACUACGUG
rnacentral:rRNA from 1 species